GCGACCCCAGGUCAGACGGGAUCACCCGCUGAGUUUAAGCAUAUCAAUAAGCGGAGGA
rnacentral:rRNA from 1 species